UCCACUUUUAUUGUUUGUGUCUAAGUCUUUGUGUUGAAUCUGGCAGUUUUUCUGCUGGAAGUUCAAGAAGAAGGUACCGGUUCUACCUGUACAUCCGUCCGGCAUUUCAAAAGUUAUGGCGAUAGAUUUCCGACGUGGUUUUGGAAGAUAAAUUCAGUGAUCUACUCCUGACCCUGGGUCAACUUGUUUAGAUCUAAUCAGAAGAUUAGAUUGCCAGAGAAAGUUCAGCCCAUAGCAGAACUUGAAUUGAAUCUGGAAUUCGGAUACUGAACCGAAAUGGAUUGAAUAAAUAAUGAGAACAACC